GCUGGGCAUGGCAGUGCAUGCCUGUAAUCCCAGCUACUUGGGAGGCUGAGGCAGGAGAAUUGCUUGAACCUGGGAGGUGGAGGUUGCGGUGACCUGAGAUCAUGCCACUGCACUCCAGCCUGGGCAACAGAGUGAGACCCUGUCUCAA
rnacentral:SRP_RNA from 1 species